rnacentral:misc_RNA from 1 species
ACAAACUUGGUCAUUUAGAGGAAGUAAAAGUCGUAACAAGGUCUCCGUUGGUGAACCAGCGGAGGGAUCAUUACCGAGUUCUACCAAACUCCCAAACCAUUGUGAACCUCCAUCGUUGCUUCGGCGGACACGUCGCGCGCGGUGGGCGAAGGGGUUCGCCCCCCGGCGCCCGGCGCCGUCGCGCAGCCCGCCGAGGGCGUUAAACUCUUGUAUCUUUUUCGUGGAUCUCUCUGAGUGGACAAAACAAAUGAAUCAAAACUUUCAACAACGGAUCUCUUGGUUCUGGCAUCGAUGAAGAACGCAGC